rnacentral:tRNA from 1 species
GUUCUCCUAGCUCAGUUGGUAGAGCACUUCACUCGUAACAAGGGGGCACAAGUUCGAACCUUGUAGAGAGCA